rnacentral:rRNA from 1 species
GGCGUCCUACGGGGCGCAGCAGUGGGGAAUAUUGCACAAUGGGGGGAACCCUGAUGCAGCGACGCCGCGUGAGUGAAGAAGUAUUUCGGUAUGUAAAGCUCUAUCAGCAGGGAAGAAGAUGACGGUACCUGACUAAGAAGCCCCGGCUAACUACGUGCCAGCAGCCGCGGUAAUACGUAGGGGGCAAGCGUUAUCCGGAAUCACUGGGUGUAAAGGGAGCGUAGACGGCUGAGCAAGCCUGAAGUGAAAGGCGGGGGCCCAACCCCUGGACUGCUUUGGGAACUGUACGGCUGGAGUGCAGGAGG